rnacentral:rRNA from 1 species
CAAAGGCAUGGUCCUGACCUUAUUAUCAGCUCUUACCCGACUUACACAUGCAAGUCUCCGCAAUCCCGUGAAUAUGCCCUCAAUCCCCUGCCCGGGGACGAGGAGCGGGCAUCAGGCACAAAUUUUAGCCCAAGACGCCUGGCCAAGCCACACCCCCAAGGGAAUUCAGCAGUGAUAAACAUUAAGCCAUAAGUGAAAACUUGACUCAGUCAAGGUAAAGAGGGCCGGUAAAACUCGUGCCAGCCACCGCGGUUAAACGAGAGGCCCUAGUUGAUAAAACCACGGCGUAAAGGGUGGUUAAGGAAAGCAAAACAAAUUUAAAGCCAAAUGGCCCUUUGGCCGUCAUACGCUUCUAGGUGUCCGAAGCCCAAUUAUACGAAAGUAGCUUUAUAAAGCCCACC